rnacentral:rRNA from 1 species
UACGAAGGGUGCAAACGUUGCUCGGAAUUAUUGGGCGUAAAGCGCACGUAGGCGGCAUUGCAAGUCCCAUGUGAAAUCCCACGGCUUAACCGUGGAAGUGCAUGGGAAACUGCAGUGCUUGAGUACUUAAGAGGAUCGCGGAAUUCCCGGUGUAGAGGUGAAAUUCGUAGAUAUCGGGAGGAACACCAGUGGCGAAGGCGACUUACUGGACACAUACUGACGCUGAGGUGCGAAAGCGUGGGGAGCAAGCAGG